rnacentral:rRNA from 1 species
GAUGAACGCUGGCGGCGUGCCUAAUACAUGCAAGUCGAGCGAACGGACGAGAAGCUUGCUUCUCUGAUGUUAGCGGCGGACGGGUGAGUAACACGUGGAUAACCUACCUAUAAGACUGGGAUAAUUUCGGGAAACCGGAGCUAAUACCGGAUAAUAUUUUGAACCGCAUGGUUCAAAAGUGAAAGACGGUCUUGCUGUCACUUAUAGAUGGAUUCGCGCUGCAUUAGCUAGUUGGUAAGGUAACGGCUUACCAAGGCAACGAUGCAUAGCCGACCUGAGAGGGUGAUCGGCCACACUGGAACUGAGACACGGUCCAGACUCCUACGGGAGGCAGCAGUAGGGAAUCUUCCGCAAUGGGCGAAAGCCUGACGGAGCAACGCCGCGUGAGUGAUGAAGGUCUUCGGAUCGUAAAACUCUGUUAUUAGGGAAGAACAUAUGUGUAAGUAACUGUGCACAUCUUGACGGUACCUAAUCAGAAAGCCACGGCUAACUACGUG